UGUGGUCCAACUAUGAGAACCACUGACUUAAACUAUAGAGGCAGUGCUAUUUUAAUAUCCAACUUGCUGCAAGUUGCAGCAUCGGUAUACUAAAAUACUGGAGCAAUUCUGAAAAUCAGCAUUAUUUUAAAACGGCAACUUCCGUAGAGAUGAAAGUUUAGUAAACUGGAUUCAUACAUUCAUGCGGAAAUUCCCGACAGCCAGUGUAAGGAUCCAAAAGGAUAUCGUUUAGCAGGCCAGACCUUCUUCCCGUAUGAAGUAGCAGGGGUCAAUUCCAGCUGGAAAUGGAGUCAGAUGCCACAGUUGUGUUCUGAAAAUGUUGUAUUUUUGGAACUAGAAGAAUUCAGGUAUCCAUACUAUUGUAUGUGACGGGUACCACAUCGGGUAUGGCUUCAGACAAAGAUACUGUACGUCUGUUCCACUUUGCUUGAUGUCGUUGCAGAGCGUGUACUGUAACACAAAUGCUGGAUUGUAUUGAUUGACUAUACUGCAAGAGAAUCACUGAUUCAUUGAAAAUGAUCUUCAAAUUGGAGAAAUACACAGUAUUGUAUUCUGUAUACCUAUAUCCACUACUUUAUCACACUGGAAGAGAAACAUUAUUUGAUGGAAUUUGUUAUAAUAUUUCUUACGCUUUGUGCACAUAUUUUUAAGUACUGAUUUAUUUAGACGUUAGUGAGAAGCGGUUCUGGUAUGAAUGGCCGACCAUGUUAAGGUCGACAUUCAUUAGGUCGACCACUAUUGGUCGACAUAGACAUGGUCUAAUAGUCAACACAUGAAAAUGGUCAAUACGGGACAGGUCGACACAUGAAAAGGUUGACAUGCAUUUUUUAACUGUUUUUGGUGUCAUUUUUUUCCGUAACAUGGACCAGAAACCCCAAUUAGUGUACCUCGCUUCGCUCGCCAUGCUAGGGGCUAGGUGCCUCGCUCUGCUACCACUGCGCUCAGCACAGGUUACCAUUCCCAAUCUCAGUCCAUGUGGAUAGUAAAAGUAUGGAAAAGUUAAAAAUAGUUUUUUUUAAUUAAAAAAAAAGCCAUGUCGACCUUUUCAUG